UUCGGACGGAUGCCACUCGUUGUUGGGCUUUUGGGUUCUUAGACUAACCGACUUGACAAUUAUCCACUGGGGAUACGACGCACGUUUGAUCUCCUCGAAGUGAUGGGGGCCCCCCGCGCGGCGGAUUAUGUGGUUUAAUUCUAUGAUACGCGGGGAACCUUACCACCGGUUAAAUGGGAAAUGACAAGCUUACAAAUAUGCUUUGCUUCCGACAUUUUUCAAGGUGCUGCAGGGUUGUGGUCGUCUCGUGCCGUGAGGUGUUAGGUUAAGUCCUGCUCCCACAGCAACCCCUGUCCUUAGUUGCCAUCAUUAACUUGGGGACUCUGGUGAUACUGCCUACCCGCGUAGAAAGGAAGGUGGGAAUGACGUCAAAUCAUCACGGCCCUUAGGCCUUGGGCCACACACGUAAUACAAUGGCCGGUAGAGAGGGCAACUACACUGCAAACUGAUGCAAAUCUCGAAAGCCGGUCUCACUUCGGAUUGGAGUCUGCGACUCCACUCUCUGAACCUGGAAUCGCUGGUAAUCGCGCAUCAGCCAUGGCGCAGUGAAUACGUUCCCGGGUCUUGUACACACCGCCCGUCAAGCCAUGGAACUCUGGGGUACCUGAACUCCGUGACCGUAACACGAGCUGCCUAGGAGAAAACAGGUAACUAGGGCUAAGUCGUAAGAAGGUAGCCAUUAAAGGGUACACA
rnacentral:rRNA from 1 species